rnacentral:lncRNA from 1 species
CAGUGGCACGAUCAUGAGUCACUGCAAGCCUCAAUCUCCUGGGCUCAGGUGAUCCUCCUACCUCAGCCUGUUAAGUAGCUGGGACUGCAGGUGCACACCACCAUGCCUGGCUAAUUUUUCAUAUUGUUUGUAGAGGCGAGGUUUCAUCAUGUUGUCCAGGCUAGUCUCGAACUCCUGGACUCAAGCCAUCCUGUGUUGGCCUCCCAAGGUGUUGGGAUUACAAGCGUGAGCCACUGCCUGGCCCCAGACUUUAACUUUUAUUGAUGAUUUUGUCAUGGUGAUUUUCUGUUUCCAUCAUUUCUUCUGUAUUUACAUUAGUGGUUUUUGGUAAGGAAGAACUUUCCCUUGUUAUGUAUUUAUUUAAUGUUUUAUGUAUAUCAGAAUGGACUCGCGGAUUUUUUUUCCCCUCUUAUAUCAGAUGGACUUACAGAUUCUUCUAUGGAUUUCAUCUAUUAUCAUCAUUAUUUAUUUUGGUGCUCUAAUUAUCCCAGGUUUGGCCCCAUGAAGCCUCUUCAAGGAGGUUCCUGGUCCUUUUGACAUGUCUCCAUCAUUUUGUGAGGGCUUAACUUUUUUUUUUUCUUUUUGAGUCAGGGUCCUGCUGUGUCACUCAGGCUGGAGUGCGCAGUGGUAUGAUCAUAGCUCACUGCAACCUGGAUUUCCUGGGCUCAAGUGAUCCCCCUGCCUUAGCCUCCGGAGUAGCUAGGACUACAGGCCAGAAUUCAUUCAUAUUGUGCAUUACACAAUCAGUGUGCAUAUUGCACAUUGAUUUUAUCUUCGUCUGAAAGUAUAGCACAUGGCCGGGCGCGGUGGCUCACGCCUAUAAUCCCAACACUUUGGGAGGCUGAGGCGGGCAGAUCACAAGAUGUGUUAAUAUCAUUGUGCUACAGUUGCAUACAGUAUUCAGUACAGUAACAUGCUGUACAGCCACUUUGCAAAACACUGUCAAUUAAAAUUUAUAUAUGUUGAUUUAUGUUAGAACAAAGUGUAAAAUCUUUUUUAUUGGUUUGUGUUAUGAAAACUUUAAAUUUCAAUGUAAAUUUAUAAGAAAGUUCUUAUAAAAUUUCUGGCAUACCUUCUUCCAGUUUCUUUUUAUUUUACUUUUUCUUGUGUUAGCCUGGUCAUAAAUAAACUCUACCUUUCUUUGGUGCUUCAAGUUAAGCUUGUUCAUAGGCAUUGAGAUAAGUAAAUGAAUGUUAUUGCUGAUGUUUAUUUCAUUCUGUCUUGAUCUCAUGAUAUGAGAAUAUAAGGAGAUGUCUGAAAACUUGUUUUAAAAAUCCUAUGAAGCAUAAGUUCAUGAAUAAAGAAGGAAGUGGAACUUGUCUUGAGAGAAUUUGCCUAUUUAGAUGGUUUCCAAAGUGCAUUCUGCUAGUCACUAGAGAUGGUCCUUGAAAGAGUUCUGUAAUUAAGUUUGAAGAAACACUGUGUACCAUAAUAAUGGCCUAUUGAAUAUUUUACCAUGCACAUUAAUAUAUCAAAGGCUUUGAGAUAUCUUACAAGAAAGAAACUUGCUAAAGCUUGUCUUCCUGCAUGUCUUAAGCUUCUUCCACAGUGACUUUAAGUCGGACUUGUCUAUCCUGUGAGAAAUGCUGCCCUCUAGAGGCACAAAUUCAAUUGCUCUUAAAUUUGAGUACCAUAAUGCUGCCUGAUCUUAGUGUGAAGUUGUGAUAAUUAAUAUUAAUCAAAUGCAUGGUAACAAAACCAAAUAGAAGAAAUCUUAUGUUGCUUAAUUUUAAGAAAAUAUGAGGAAACAGAAUUGCAAUUUAUAAAUACCCACUUUUUAAAUUGUACAUGUGAUAUUUUUGGCUGCUAAUAAUCUUUUGAAUACAUUUCUGUAUAUGGGGAAUUGCGGACACAUAGUACUUCAAGUCUCCAAACUCUGAGUCUCUCCUGCUAGCAGAAGCCAUCCUUCCCUGUGUUAACAACCUUGCUUAAGACAGUUACCAUCCAUGGGGAAGCUAGUUUCCUCAUACCCCUUCCCACGAUACUCAUGUUUCCAUACCUGUAACUGGAGUCAGACUAUAUCAUGCUGCACCUUUGCAGUCACAAUGGGAAGAAAAGGAUUAUAUGUAAUUUUUUUAAAGUUUUUUUUUUUUUUUUUUUUUUUUGCUGACAAAGCAGCAAAACCUUCAGGAAUAUGUACAGAAAUGGGUGAUGAUGAUGAUGUGAGAGAGAAAGAAACAUGCUUUUGCAUUUGGCUGAAUGUAUUGGUAUGGUGCAGUUAUCAGAGAUUCUGAAUUCAUUGUUCUCGUUCAAGUAGCCAGGAGUGGUUCUAAUUGUUUGCUCCUUUGGUCUCAGCAUUGACUUAUACUAAAUGAAGUUGAAUGCCUAAAAACUCAUAGCAUAAUAUAGAGGAAGAAGUCAAAAGAUUAAAGGAAAUAGAACUGAUGGAGUGGAUUUAUCACUGUGACCAUUCACUUACCUCCCCUAUUCCCUCUCCAGUAUUCUCUACUAAGAGGUCUGGAAGACACUUCAUUCACCAACCUAAUGAGAAAUACUUUGAGGGCAGUGCCAGCAUAUAUGAAAAGUAAUUCAAUUGCUUUUGUCUGUAGGCUGGAGGAGAUACUUUCAUUGAAAUUGUCUUUUUUACUUCAGGGGGUGUGGCCAGAUUCUAGGUAAGGUCCAGGCAUCAUUUUCAUAAGGUAGCUUGACAGGCAUGAUGAUCAGAGAUGCACUGACUUGAAUUCUUUUUGGCUGUGACUAAAUGAUCAUGGAUCCCUACGUCUAAAAUAGAGAGGAAGCCUAUUAAGAUCCUACUUUAUCUGUAUGAGCAAAAAAUUUUAGGUCUCAUAGGAGAAGGCCUUACUUGAACUACCAUAAGAGUGAGUUGGCCAGCCUGGGCAACAUGGUGAAACCCUGUCUCUACAAAAAACACAAAAGUUAACUUUUGUGUUUUGGGCAUGGCUGCGUGAGCCUGUGGUCCUGGCUGCUCAGGAGGCUGCCCCCUUUUUGCAGUUUACUUCAUGGGUUAUAUGAGAAAACAGGAAGGAGGGGGAUAUCACCGAGAGAUUCUGAUAUUGGAGCUGUGUGCAAUAACUGAUAAGUCUCUGGUUCUUACCUCCAUAUGAGGAACAGAGAGAGUCUUGUUUGUACAAGGCUUAGUUAUAAUCUGUCAGGUUUGAGGAUCUUGAUUGGAAGCAUAGACUUGAUCUGUAUUUGUGGUUUCUCAUUUCAAAUAGCCUCUCAAUGUUGGAUAAAUUUGCAUGUUCAUGUUUUAUAGAGUCAGAACUCAAUUUCCUAGUAUUCCUUGCAGCUAGGGCACAAGCAUAUGACCUAGGCUUUAUUGAUCAGAUGCAUCUGUGUAAGACAUGAAUUCAGGGUCAGAGAAAUGCAGGGUAACAGCUCUUGCCUGGAAUUGCUUUCUAAUGUGCAUGUUGAGUGACAAGAUAUUGAGCUGUUUAGAGGUAGCAGUGACAGAGAUACUAGUGAGCCUUGUUGUCCUAGGCUCAGCUUUCAUGGUACUAGGGCUGAAGGAUGGGAACAAUUUGGUGGGGAGACUUAGGUAUUUUUCCUGGCAUCAUAUCUCCAAGUGGAUUCUUCAGUUCUCUGAUAAUUCUUGGAAUCCCCUAAUAUAUUAAUAAAUUUAUUUUCUCUUGAAACCACCUCAAAUAGAUUCUGUUUAUAGCUUAGAGCCCUGAUUGAUCGUCUAACUUUAAAGAUUUUAUUUAUCGUCAAAAUAUUUUAUUUUUCUAAUUGAGAUCUAAAAAUUGUCAAGCACUUAUACUCUAUUUUUUCCCUUCCUAGAGCUCUGCAAUCCUUUGCUGUCAUUUUUUCUUACCAGGAAUGCCAAUUUUUGUACCUUUUGAAUUGCUUUUUCUUCUUUGCUACUUGGCUUGAGCUCCACUAUUGUUAUGAAACCUUUCUUAUACCAUCCCAGCAGCCUGAUGGAUUUUUUUCUUCCUCUGAAUUCCAGUAGCACUUGUUUAGACAUUAAGUGCAAGGUGUUUUUUUGUUUUGUUUUGUUUUUCUGUAUGCAUCUUAGCUUCCGCACUAAAUGAUAAGCUCCCUGAAAACUAGUACUAUGCCUCUUUAUAUCGCUUGCAUUGUCCAACAGAAUGUCUUGCACCUAUUAGAUUCAAGGUUCAGCACAGUCACCCUCAUAAUAUAUAGUGAUGAGAGUUGCUGAGAAUCACAGUGAUGCCAGGCUGAAUGAGCUGAGAUAAUAAACUAGUUAGAUGCAUAGUCUGGCCAUGAGGCCCAAUUUCCAUCUUCCUCAAGGAGUCUGAGACUUGCCUCUCAGUAGUUUUCGUUAGUAGGUGAUCAUAUCUUCUGAAUUACUGUCUUCUUAAUGUUUUAUGAGUUUUUUUUUGCCUUGACAAAAGCCUUCUAUUUCUCUCAUGCUUCCUAGUUCCUUCCAUUGUGCCCUCUGCAAUUUCUUUUCACUAAGCUUACUAUUUGCAGUCUCUUAAAAUUUGUGUAAAUUAUGAAAUCAAAGAUACAAAGAAAGGACAGAAAGUAGUAUAACAAACACCUGUGUAUCUAACCUCAGGGUCAAGCAGAUAUUAACCUUUUGCCUCGUUUGAUUUCCUUUUAAAGUUCUUCCCUCCCCAUACUUUUCUCCCUUCUUUGGAGGUACUCAUUAUCCUAAAGUCCUUACGAUUAUUUCCCUGCUGUUUUUGUACACAUAAAACAUUUACACAAAAGAUGACCUGUGUUUUUUUCUAGAUGUGUUCAUAUUGACAUGUGUAGAUUUAGUUCAUUCAUUGUAACUACUGUUUAGUUUUCCAGGUUGAAUAAUGCUAAGUUUUAUAGAGAUAAUGCAGUUCUACCUUUUGGCAAAUAAUAUUGUAAUGCUCGUACAUAGGUACUUACUGUAAUUUUAUCUAGGAUAGAUACCUGAAAGUAGAAUUGCUGAAUCACAGGGUUCAGGUGCCACUUUAUCAAGUAUUGCCGAGUCCAGUCCAAAGUGGAGCUACCAUUUUAUACCCAUUAACAUGUUUCCACACUUUUUUUUAUCAACAUUUAAUUUUAUCUAGC